rfam:Halobacillus mangrovi strain KTB 131, complete genome.
UCCAACGUAGCUCAGUGGUAGAGCAAUCGGCUGUUAACCGAUCGGUCGUAGGUUCGAAUCCUACCGUUGGAG